GGUUGGUUAGCUCAGUUGGUUAGAGCGUCGUAUGUCUUCCUUACUACCGCCUAUUAAUCACCAGUGGCUAACACGUACUAGGUACUAAUACAGAAUCCCUCUGUAUCAAGUAAUGCGAAGGUCAUGAGUUCGACCCUCAUACUGACCA